UCAUACUUUUUUAGAGCUUUCGUAUAAUGGCUAAAAAUAUAGAUUAAAGGUCAAAUUUUCCGUAUACCCAAAUAUUUAAAGCUCAACAAGUGAACAAAGAUUCCAGUUAAUAGCAAGCGCAAACUUCUACUUAUAGGCAAUACUACUCCUGUAUGUACUAAAUACUAUAUAUCUAAACCUAUAAUGUGUCUAGGCUAUUUUUAUUGCUUUAGGACCCAAAUAUUAAUCUCUCCGAAUAUACUCCAA